AGAGUUUGAUCCUGGCUCAGGAUGAACGCUAGCGACAGGCUUAACACAUGCAAGUCGAGGGGCAGCGGGGGUGAUGGCUUGCCAUCACCUGCCGGCGACCGGCGCACGGGUGAGUAACACGUAUGCAACCUGCCCGCCACAGGGGGAUAAGCGGAAGAAAUUCCGUCUAAUACCGCGUGACGCGGCGUCGGGGCAUCCCGGUGCCGCCAAAGGGAUUACCGGUGGCGGAUGGGCAUGCGGCGCAUUAGCUAGUCGGCGGGGUAACGGCCCACCGAGGCGACGAUGCGUAGGGGUUCUGAGAGGAAGGUCCCCCACACUGGUACUGAGACACGGACCAGACUCCUACGGGAGGCAGCAGUGAGGAAUAUUGGUCAAUGGCGGGAGCCUGAACCAGCCAAGUCGCGUGAGGGAUGACGGUCCUACGGAUUGUAAACCUCUUUUGCCGGGGAGCAAGCGUGCGUUCGUGAACGCGCGUCGAGAGUACCCGGAGAAAAAGCAUCGGCUAACUCCGUGCCAGCAGCCGCGGUAAUACGAAGGAUGCGAGCGUUAUCCGGAUUUAUUGGGUUUAAAGGGUGCGUAGGCGGGAUGCCAAGUCAGCGGUAAAAAUGCGGUGCUCAACGCCGUCGAGCCGUUGAAACUGGCGUUCUUGAGUGGGCGAGAAGUAUGCGGAAUGCGUGGUGUAGCGGUGAAGUGCAUGGAUAUCACGCAGAACUCCGAUUGCGAAGGCAGCAUACCGGCGCCCUACUGACGCUGAGGCACGAAAGCGUGGGUAUCGAACAGGAUUAGAUACCCUGGUAGUCCACGCAGUAAACGAUGAAUGCUAACUGUCCGGUGCGAGUGAGCGCUGGGCGGUACAGCGAAAGCGUUAAGCAUUCCACCUGGGGAGUACGCCGGCAACGGUGAAACUCAAAGGAAUUGACGGGGGCCCGCACAAGCGGAGGAACAUGUGGUUUAAUUCGAUGAUACGCGAGGAACCUUACCCGGGCUCAAACGCAGGAUGACGGGUCCCGAAAGGGGCCUUUCUUCGGACAUUCUGCGAGGUGCUGCAUGGUUGUCGUCAGCUCGUGCCGUGAGGUGUCGGCUUAAGUGCCAUAACGAGCGCAACCCCUGUCCACAGUUGCCAGCAGGUAAAGCUGGGGACUCUGUGGAGACUGCCGGCGCAAGCUGCGAGGAAGGCGGGGAUGACGUCAAAUCAGCACGGCCCUUACGUCCGGGGCGACACACGUGUUACAAUGGCAGGUACAGCGGGAUGCCACGGGGCGACCCGGCGCUGAACCCGAAAACCUGUCUCAGUUCGGAUUGGAGUCUGCAACCCGACUCCAUGAAGCUGGAUUCGCUAGUAAUCGCGCAUCAGCCACGGCGCGGUGAAUACGUUCCCGGGCCUUGCACUCACCGCCCGUCA
rnacentral:rRNA from 1 species